CCUGGCUCAGGACGAACGCUGGCGGCGUGCCUAAUGCAUGCAAGUCGAACGCAGCAGGCGUGCCUGGCUGCGUGGCGAACGGCUGAGGAACACGUGGGUGACCUGCCCCGGAGUGGGGGAUACCCCGUCGAAAGACGGGACAAUCCCGCAUACGCUCGACGGAGGAAAGCCGCAAGGCGCUCUGGGAGGGGCCUGCGGCCCAUCAGGUAGUUGGUGUGGUAACGGCGCACCAAGCCAAUGACGGGUACCCGGUCUGAGAGGACGACCGGGCAGACUGGGACUGAGACACGGCCCAGACUCCUACGGGAGGCAGCAGCAAGGAAUUUUCCCCAAUGGGCGCAAGCCUGAGGGAGCAACGCCGCGUGGAGGACGACGGCCUUCGGGUUGUAAACUCCUUUCGGGUGGGACGAUGCUGACGGUACCACCAGAAGCAGCCCCGGCUAACUCUGUGCCAGCAGCCGCGGUAAGACAGAGGGGGCAAGCGUUGUCCGGAGUUACUGGGCGUAAAGGGCGCGCAGGCGGUGGGCUGCGUCGGCGCUGAAAGCGCCCCGCUUAACGGGGCGAGGCGCGCCGAUACGAGUCCACUCGAGGCAAGCAGAGGGUGGCGGAAUUCCGGGUGGAGCGGUGAAAUGCGUAGAGAUCCGGAGGAACGCCGGUGGGGAAGCCGGCCACCUGGGCUUGACCUGACGCUGCGGCGCGACAGCGUGGGGAGCAAACCGGAUUAGAUACCCGGGUAGUCCACGCCGUAAACGAUGCCGGCUCGGCGUCUGGCGCACGUUGGUGUGCUGGGUGCCUUAGCUCACGCGGUAAGCCGGCCGCCUGGGGACUACGAGCGCAAGCUUAAAACUCAAAGGAAUUG
rnacentral:rRNA from 1 species